rnacentral:rRNA from 1 species
UACGUAGGGGGCUAGCGUUGUCCGGAAUCAUUGGGCGUAAAGCGCGCGUAGGCGGCCCGGUAAGUCCGCUGUGAAAGUCAAAGGCUCAACCUUUGAAUGUCAGCGGAUACUGCCGGGCUAGAGUCCGGAAGAGGCGAGUGGAAUUCCUGGUGUAGCGGUGGAAUGCGCAGAUAUCAGGAGGAACACCAACGGCGAAGGCAGCUCGCUGGGACGGUACUGACGCUGAGGCGCGAAAGCGUGGGGGGAGCGAACAGG